GACGAACGCUGGCGGCGUGCUUAACACAUGCAAGUCGAACGGAAAGGCCCUGCUUUUGUGGGGUGCUCGAGUGGCGAACGGGUGAGUAACACGUGAGUAACCUGCCCUUGACUUUGGGAUAACUUCAGGAAACUGGGGCUAAUACCGGAUAGGAGCUCCUGCUGCAUGGUGGGGGUUGGAAAGUUUCGGCGGUUGGGGAUGGACUCGCGGCUUAUCAGCUUGUUGGUGGGGUAGUGGCUUACCAAGGCUUUGACGGGUAGCCGGCCUGAGAGGGUGACCGGCAACAUGGGGACUGAGAUACGGCCCAGACUCCUACGGGAGGAAGCAGGGGGGAAUAUUGCAAAAUGGGCGGAAGCCUGAUGCAGCAACGCGGCGUGCGGGAUGACGGCCUUCGGGUUGUAAACCGUUUUCGCCUGUGACGAAGCGUGAGUGACGGUAAUGGGUAAAGAAGCACCGGCUAACUACGUG
rnacentral:rRNA from 1 species